CGGACGGGUGAGUAAUACGUGGAUAACCUACCUAUAAGACUGGGAUAACUUCGGGAAACCGGAGCUAAUACCGGAUAAUAUAUUGAACCGCAUGGUUCAAUAGUGAAAGACGGUUUUGCUGUCACUUAUAGAUGGAUCCGCGCCGCAUUAGCUAGUUGGUAAGGUAACGGCUUACCAAGGCAGCGAUGCGUAGCCGACCUGAGAGGGUGAUCGGCCACACUGGAACUGAGACACGGUCCAGACUCCUACGGGAGGCAGCAGCCC
rnacentral:rRNA from 1 species